UGGGCCCUGGAGGUGGACAGGCGAUCAAAUAUUCAUCUACAACAAUUGGUUUUAUCGCCCAAAACAAGUUUCCAAUAGUCCACUUUGUGCGAAAAUGAUUGCUGUAGAAAGACUAGGUUGGACGCACAGUGAUUGUAUUGAAAGGAACGGAUUUAUAUGUCAAUAUCAAUCCAAAGCUACAGGACUGCAAGACAAUAUUACAGAGCUGGAUCAACUCGGAGCAACAGCGAGACACCAGGAGGAGACUUUCCUAGAACAAUGGAUGAUCUACACUGCAAUAGCUGUCCUGGCAAUAAUUACAUUAUUGUUACUUAUCAUAUGUUGCUUAUGCUGCAAAUGUAAUGAAAAGAAACACAUUAGACCUGCACCAAGUGGAAGACCAUUA